AUUGAACGCUGGCGGCAGGCCUAACACAUGCAAGUCGAGCGGAGCGGCGGACGGGUGAGUAAUGCCUAGGAAUCUGCCUGGUAGUGGGGGAUAACGUCCGGAAACGGGCGCUAAUACCGCAUACUAUCAGAUGAGCCUAGGUCGGAUUAGCUUGUUGGUGGGGUACCGGCUCACCAAGGCGACGAUCCCUAGCUGGUCUGAGAGGAUGACCAGCCACCCUGGAACUGAGACACGGGCCAGCCUCCUCCGGGAGGCAUCAGUUGGGAAUAUUGCCCAAUGGGCGCAAGCCUGAUGCAGCCAUGCCGCGUGUAUGAAGAAGGCCGUCGGGUUGUAAAGUACUUUCAGCUGGGAGGCGUUACCCGCAGAAGAAGCACCGGCUAACUCCGUGCCAGCAGCCGCGGUAAUUC
rnacentral:rRNA from 1 species